GGGAGGGGAGGGGGAGAGGGGAGCCUCCCCCAAUUCGUAUUGCACGGAGAAGGUAACACGGUUGUCUACGACCGUAGAUGUGCGGCAGAUAAUAUUGCGACCGAGAAUCACCCACUCACUCGCCUUCUCCUCGCUUCGUCGUCUACAUAACCCGGCCGCUCUGUUCUCGUGCUCCCUCUUCCACUCGUCUCGCCAUUAAUUAAAGCUCCGGAAAACAAUUUCCCUCUCCCAAAUCCUCCAGAUAUAGCCCCCCUACCACACCCCAGCAAACUCUCACGCGCGCGCGAAGCAUCGGCUCUGCUGGAUCCCCCCCUUUGCCUGGGCAUUUGAUUUCCCCCCGAAUUUCCCAUCAUUUUGGGUUUAUCGGCCAUCUGUGGCGGCAGCUCGGGAUAGGGCUCGCGGGGAUGAGGUUGCAUGGGGAUGUGUCGGAUGAUGAAGAGGAGGGUGCGGUGAUGGAUCCGGCACUGCUGUCUCCGUCAUCGCCGCCCGCCGGUGCGGCGGCGGCGGCUGCGUCGAGGCUGGUGGUGGGCUACGCCCUCACGAAGAAGAAGGUUAAGAGCUUCCUCCAGCCCAAGCUGCUCCUGCUGGCGAGGAAGAAAGGAAUUAGUUUCAUAUCAAUUGAUGAGACUCAUCCUCUCUCAGAACAAGGCCCAUUUGAUAUCAUCUUGCACAAGAAAACUAGCAAGGAGUGGCAGCGGUUUCUGGAGGAUUAUCAUGAAGUGCAUCCAGAAGUCACUGUCCUCGACCCACCCAAUGCCAUUGAGCAUCUGAACAAUCGACAAUCGAUGCUUGAAGAAGUAGCAGAUUUGAACCUGUCCAGUUUCUAUGAAGAAGUUUGCACUCCACGCCAACUGGUCAUUAUGAAAGAUCCGUCCUCUAUACCAACUGCAGUUGCCAUGGCUGGGCUAACCUUGCCAUUGGUUGCCAAGCCAUUGGUUGUUGAUGGAACAUCUAAAUCUCAUGAGCUAUCUCUGGCAUACGAUGAGGCGUCCUUGCCAAUGCUUGAUCCUCCUCUGGUACUCCAGGAAUUUGUGAAUCAUGGUGGGAUCCUCUUUAAGGUGUACAUCAUUGGUGAAGCUAUACAGGUUGUCCGCAGGUUUUCUCUUCCUGAUGUUAAUACCUAUGACUUACUAAACAAUGUUGGCAUCUAUCGACUUCCAAGAGUUUCAUGCGCUGCAGCAAGUGCAGAUCAUGCAGACCUUGAUCCUCGUAUUGCAGAGCUUCCUCCGAGACCACUUCUAGAGAAACUAGGCAGGGAGCUUCGUGGUCGUCUGGGUCUAAGAUUGUUCAACAUAGAUAUGAUUAGAGAGCUUGGAGCAAAUGACCGGUACUAUAUAAUUGAUAUCAACUACUUCCCAGGAUAUGGGAAAAUGCCUGGCUAUGAGCACAUAUUCACCGAUUUCUUGCAAAGUCUUGGGCAAAACAAAUACCAAAGGUGCUUGAGCGGAGGCUGAAGCGCUGGUAGCCAUACUUGUUCACUAAUGUGCAUAUCUUGGAUACAUAAGCUGGAGCCCAAGGCUUGAAGUCCAAAACUUACAUGUUUUGUAAGAAGUGGCGCCACAUACACAGGGUCGGGAGUAGGGGGAGAGAAAGAACUCGAAUGGCCUUGUGCCCAUCUUGUAUAAAUCACGGUUGUUUUGAUCAUAGUUUGGUCUCAAAUGCUUUCAUCAAACAGGAUCAGCACCAUCAACCUACCAUGUAUGAUAUUGAUCAGUUAAGCUACAUACGGUGCAUCACAGUAAGCAAUAUUCAAAAUAAGACAGCAUCACCUGCUUCCAGGUAUAGUUUGACACUACAGAGAACUAAAUGCUCUUCUAGGGGGAAAUUCAAUCAGAUUGCAAAGCUUCUAACCUGCAGUCAGAAAAUCUUGAUAAAUUGAAGCAGGUAGCCAUGACUUGGUGCAGGCUUCGAGCAUGAGCUGCUCCUUGUUCCGCGGCAGUUUUUAGCUGCUGCAGACUGGACACACAAGGAGUGUUUGCAUGUGCCAGCAUUUCCAGUAAAC
rnacentral:rRNA from 1 species